CAAUGCGAUAACGAACCGGUAUUCGUUUUUGUUUUUUUUUUUUUUGAAGAAAUAUUUUACAGUGCGUUAAUAUUGUUGAAGUAAUUGCGUUAAUGUGUAGUUAAGCAGUAGAGUUUUGUGCUAUCAGUGAAAAUGUGUACAACAUUGACUUUGAAGAACCCCCUGUGCGGUCGAAAAACCGCAGAGUGAAACUGUUCCCAUUCCAAACGGGUUGGAAAAUAGUGGAAAACAAACAUUUGUUUUUGAAGUGCUUUUGAACUGUUUUGUUUCUUUUUUGCACAACGCACAACAAGCCGACCAAGGUUUUUAUAGAUUUUUGGCGUUACAAAAGUGUGUGUUUGUGUGUGUGUGUGUGCAUAGAUAAACAAAAAAACGCCACCCCCUCGCAUCACGAUCCGACAUUCGUGCGACUUAAUGUGCAUCCCUUCUAAUAGUGCCUGUUUGUGUAUAUGUGUCAAUAAGUGGUGCGCUAAGAGCAAAACGCGAUCAUGAUUUAGUUGGUUAUGAGAUAGAGAGAGAGAAAACAAAAAUUGUAAAAGUUAUACCAACCAAAUGUAAUACAACAGCAAUUCGUUUAAAGAAAAACUCCUUUGAAUGAAGGAAGCUAAUAUUCAGUGUCGCACUGUCUCUUUCUCUCUUUCGCAUUUUCUCGCAGUGUGCGAUCAAGCUAAUACGAUUUGGAAUAUGUGUGUGUGCUCGUUUGUGUGCGUGUGAUACAAUAAUAUCCGGUGAAGCAAAACAAAUCGAUCGAAACAAUCGCAAGUGUUCUUCCCUUGAGCUCUCUCAAGGCGUUUGAAUUUGGCAAAGGAAAAAUCCAUCCGAUCGAGAUCAUUGGGCGCGAUCUUACAGUGUGUGAAUGUAUCACCGUACGCCAUUUCCGAUGGAUUGUAUGCCUCAGUGUGCUAUUUGUCGUGCCUUGGAUACAUGCGAAUGAGUGCUUAGAAGCUUUGUAUUGAAAACAAGGGCUGUUUAAGAGAUUCUGGAUGCAGCUUAAAGGAAUCCUUCACCCAGGCGUACUUGCGCGUCCGCUCUUCUAGCGCGUUUUCGUGUAGAUGUGUGUGUGUGUGUUUUUGUGCGUUUGUAUGGUGUGAUAUUGCGUGUACUGUGGGGUGGAGAACAGCAAAUCGUCCCACACGUCCCAUAAUACACACCGGCAUUAGUGUUUAUACUACGCUGCCUCGCCAACUAUAACUAUCGUUACUAUAAAAGCAAACAAAAACAGUAUGUUUCACCUUUCAUCUCGUCAUUAUGUCGUGUAGAUGUACUAACGAUCAACGUCAUUAGUGUCAGUGACAGUGUGUAUCUGCUCCGAUAGUAAAACUCCGAUAGCGCGCUGAAACUGAAACAAAAAUCGCGACAUUAAAAACUGACAUUCGUUUUGUACUUCUUUCUUUUCCUUCUUUCUUUCCUUAUAUGCCCAUGUUUGGCUAAAAUAUUGGGCUGAAUGGUGUAUUAUGCGCUAUUCGCAUUACGGGCUGCUCGGUGACGCCAUUCCCUCCUUUUUUGUGACGCGUGUACCUACGAUGAACUUUAACCUCUGGCGUUGAUGCUGGCACAUCCGUCAACAUUCAACACACGACAUAACCGGCGGAAAAUGUAUCGGUAAAACGCAACAAACCGUGUCACUGUGUGCAUUCUAUACGCCGGUGGUACUACUGGAACACGUGGACGUGUCGUCAUUUGCCGUAACAUUACCUACACACACACAACAUGGCCACGGCAGCGAAACAGUCGUCAACGUCGACGUCGCCCUCCAGCACCGUGCGAACGUUCGUCGAGGGCCAGGAGGAUUUGGAUGCGAUCGCAAAGCAAAUCUCCGACCACGCGGAAGCCAUCUAUCAGACCUGGAAAGCGCGCGGUUUAGCACCGACCGAAAUCCUCAACUGUCACACCGGUGACGGUGCCGAGCAUGCCUUCAGCCAGGCGUUAAACCCUGCAAACACACCGACCCAUCCGGCCGGCGGACCCAGCGGUACAAUAUCCAGCGGACAGUCCAGUCCAGCGGGUGUUGUGCCGGGCGGCAGUGUGUCACCGACUGGCAACGCGGCCGGUGUAGCGGAGCUGCUUGCCAAGGCGCCGAACCUCUCCAACAACAGCCUCGAGCAGCUGGUUAGUUCGUUCGUGAAUGAAGAUAAGGCGCGCAUAGCGGCCCAGCGUCAGCAGCAGCAGCAGCAACGUGGAGGAGUUGUUGUCCGUACGCCGACGACCGGCACAAGUUCCGUGAUCAAAAGUGUUUUGCAAAAGUUCGAACGUAAUGGUGCCAUUGGUGGUGAGGAUACAGUGAGCGGUGGUGUAUCGGACGUCGUGGGUAGACCGAGUUAUUUACGCACCGGUGGUACCGGCGCCGGGAACACCAAACCUUCGAGCCAUUUAAGUAAUAGCAGUAGCAACAACAAUAAUAAUAAUUUUAACACGCUAAAUAAGAAUAACGUGCCGGACGUGCUGAAGGACACGAUCGUAGAGUCAAAGCCGGGCGGAACUGUGCGCGAAAAACCGCAAACCCCAGUGAAACCGGAGCACCUGCUCAACCAUGUGCCGAGCUGGCCGUUAAAGAAUCGUGUCGUUAAAACUGGAGGCGCCGGCCCGAAGGUGAUCGGUGGCGGUACGACCACACCCGUCAGCUUUGCGAAGAACACCGCGGAUCUUAUGGAUGAAGUGUCACGGGAAGAGGAACGUCUGAUAAACGCGCUAAAAACCGGUACCGUGUUGAAUAGUAGUGAUAGUAUUUUACCAGAAGUGAUCACCUCGACUCUGCCCGAUCGCGACGUCCCAGACUACGGUUCGGUUGUGGACCAUCGGGCACAGCUGGCAGGACUGAGUAGUGGUGCCGGCAGCAGCCACAGUGCUAGUGGUGGUGGGAUUUACAACCCUCAAUCCGGUCCCGUCGGUGCGAUGGUGACCGCGGCAUCCGCAGGUAAUGGUGGCGGCCCGAUCGUGGCCGCCACCAACGGUACGCCGACACUGAACGGCAACGGUACGACGAAUGGGACGGGCAAUGGUACUACAAAUCACGGCUCCGGUGACACGCCAAGCGUGAAACACUGGAACGGGGUACCGAUGAAGCCGAACCACAUACCGAUCCUGAACAUACAUCAGAUACGCGAGCAGGAAAAGCUGUCGAUGAAUUUUACGCGCAACGUUGCGACGACCCGGUUACCGAAGGACUUUGGCCGCACAUCGGUCGACGAUGAAAAGAAGCUAAACAUGCAGCCGAAAACCAUACCGAGCCCGAUACGUCCCUUCCUGUCCCGUGGAUCCGUCGCGGAACGUGUGCUCAUUUUCGAAAAGUGUCCCGAGAAAGCACCACCACGGGAACGGGUGAAAGAACCGGUUAAGCUACAGUCCAAGCCUGUCAACCGACUGAUUCCGCCAAACAUUCACGCAACGCUGCAGCGACAUCUGAAAAACUCAACCAAAGCCCCCUACAUACCGCAAUUCCAUUUCCCAAAUGGCAAACCACCUCCCACGAUUACGACGGAAACUACGAUGCAGCGGUUGGAACAGGUUUUCGACAAGAUGCCAAACUACGAGUGCACCCGAGACAGCUUCCAGGUGAUCGUUCAGAUGUGCCAAGUGCCCCAAUACUGGCGCUUGCCACUGUUUAUGUGUACGCAGCUAACCCCGAACGGUGCCGUUGACGGUGACAAAUUCCUUCACUUCUGGCGACAGAUGACAUCAUUUUGUCACGAUGCAGCAUCACGAUUUGUCUACAUAAUGUCCCGGGGUGAUCGUACCCGACCGUACAUCUUACCGGAAGACUUUGCACCAUUGAUACAGGAUGUGGUGGAUACGCAUCCAGGUUUGGCAUUCCUUAAGGAGGCUGCCGAAUUUCACUCCCGCUACGUACACACCGUGAUAGCACGUAUCUUCUACAAUGUGAACCGUAGUUGGACUGGGAAAAUUACGACGGCCGAACUGCGCAAGUCAAACCUGCUCGAUGUGAUUCAGCUGUUGGAGGAGGAGGAAGAUAUCAAUCAGAUUAUGGCGUACUUCAGCUAUGAACAUUUCUACGUCAUCUAUUGCAAAUUCUGGGAACUGGAUCGCGAUCAUGAUCUUUACAUUGACCAGCAAGAUCUGGCCAGACAUAAUGAUCAUGCUCUGUCGUCGCGUAUGAUCGAAAGGAUCUUUUCCGGAUGCGUUACGCGAAGUCCCCGACGAGGCAAUAACAAUCCGAUGAUACAGGGCCCGAAUGGUCCAAAAAUGUCGUACACCGAUUUUGUGUGGUUCCUGCUAGCGGAAGAGGACAAAUCACAUCCGACUGCCAUCGAGUAUUGGUUCCGGUGUAUGGAUGUCGAUGGUGACGGUGUCCUUUCAAUGUACGAGCUAGAGUACUUCUAUGAAGAGCAACAGCAUCGCAUGGAAUCGCUCGGAAUAGAAACACUUCCAUUCGAAGACUGCCUGUGUCAAAUGUUAGAUAUGAUAAAACCAGCAACGCCUGGCUGUGUAACAUUGGCCGAUCUGAAACGAUGCAAGAUGACACCCAUCUUCUACGACACAUUCUUCAAUCUGGAGAAAUACAUGGAGCACGAACAGCGUGAUCCAUUUGCACAGCGUGAAAAUGAUGAUCUUUCCGAUUGGGAUCGAUAUGCGGCCCAGGAGUAUGAACUGUUGGUGGCUGAGGAAGGCGGAGAUACGCAAGGGGAGGAAGAGACCCGAUAAAGAUAGGUGAAGAUGAUUUACAAGAACGAAUUGUUAAGCACGUAGCACACUAUUUAUAGGGCUCUUAUGAUGAGGACGAGGACUACGAACCAAACAUAGAUAUCCUCGAGUCACAGUUAGAUGAUUGCAUACUGAACGAGUGGUGAGAAAAGGUGAAAAUAGAGUCGGCCGAGGACUUCGAGCAGGCCGAACGGGCCAUUCAAGAACAGUUGAAUCGACUCUAAAAAAAAACAUCACAAACACAAAUACACAGUUUAUGAGAUAACCGUGGGCAUUACGGAAGGAUAAACACAUGGAUAUAUUUCAUCGAGCAAGGAAAUUAAAAACACAAGCCACUUUGUUCAUAUACGAACACGCCGUGUAAAGCAGAUAAAAAUGGCAAGCCGAUCCAACAUACAAACGUUUGCAAAAUGAUAAAAUAGAGCGUCGUAAAGAGAAAGAGAGAAAAAAAAUGGCCGAAGGGGGGAAUCGCGAUACAUUACAAAAAGCAACACUCAACAAUGCUACUACUAGCGGAUGGAACAACAUCUUCAUCAGUGUAACAACAGCUACCCGCUAAUCGCUACAAUCGCUACUACUAUUACUAUUGCUGCUACUACUACUACUACCACUACCACUACAAAUACUACCAUCUUUGGCAAUAUUAACUGGCAUUAUGAAUGCAAUUGGUUAAAAACUAGUAACUUCAAAUUCAAGAACUCACCCGUUUUCAACUACUAUUCAAAGAACGCUUUUAUAGCUAAAAUGUCAAUGUGUUAGUAUAUGUACGUACUGUAAAAUUUAUAAAAUUAUAGCUUCCGUUCUGCCAAAAGCUCUCAUGCCCCAGCUUAGAUCUUUAUGUUGAGAAGAAGAAAAAAAAGUAACAACAAAACACUCGGGAAUUAACAUUUUGCGGUAACGAACGAAAUGACAGAACCGACAAAGCGUCAUUUUGCAAAGGAUUAAAAAAAAACAAACAAUUUUGUGUGAUUAAAUCUAAAUAGUUACCAUGCGCUCAACACUGUUAACAAUUACAGCAUAUUGUGAUGCACUCGCAACUUCUACAAACAGUGAUUGGCGCAAAACGUAAUGCGUAAUUAUCUGCUUUCUUAUACGCUCGUUGCAGGUGUUGCCUCUGUUUUGUGUUACCAAAUUAAACUACUUGUCAUAUCAUAAUCAUACGCCCCCCCUUCGACUACGUCAUAAUAUCACUAAAUUUUGUACAUUUUGGAAUCAUUUCAUAGGUUUCACGAGCAGCGAGCGUAUCGUAUCGGCAUGCACAGACCCAACCAUCUUCAAAUGAUAGGACCAGAAAAUAUUGUCUAAAAGUAGUUAUCCAAAAAACGCGGAUUUAGCGAACCACCAACACGUAUCUGCGGGUGAUAUUUGUAGUGUAGUGAAGCGAGGGAGAUUCGUUUUUAGCCAACCAGCCACCAAGAAAUACAUUGUGAGGUAUACUUACUACCUAAAUUGUAUUGGUUUAAGGUAGAUAUAAUUGCCGGUAGUUCGAACAGUCCGAUAUUAGUAGUUUUUUAGCUUUUUGUUGUUGCUAGUAAUAGACUUAUGACGCUAACAUGUUAGUAAAACUCGAACGGACAAACUGUAUGACCGAACAAGUGAAUUGUUUGCAUAGUCUGUUGUUUCUCCAUUGGGUGUACUCUCUUGCGUUUAAGUGAACCAAUGCACGAGCAGUAACAACAUUCAUCAGCUACUUUAUGUUAAGAUGUUUCGUAUAAGCUUUACAACGGUGCCAAAAUAAUUGUUUCGUUACGUUUUUAGCGUUAUCUAUUAGGUGUUACACUUGCGAUAACUUCGAGAAAGAUGAAAGGUAUUGAUUUUUUAUGUACAUGUUUUCUUAAGUGUCUCUCCCGCAGAGAUGGGAUUUUUGGGGCAGCUUAAUUGAGAUAAGCAUUGCGCGAUAGAUUCGUAAGCUGUCAUUGUACGCUGUGGCUUGCGUGCACUAAUCCGUCCGUGCGUACAAAGAUGUUCCGCACCGAAAGGGUUUUGAUUGGAAAUUUUGUGACAUCUCGUGACAACGUACAUCAAUCGUAAGCUUAAUGCUUUUCAUGAUUUAAUCUCGCCAUUCCCCUGCCAUGAUCGAUACCACCACUGCAAUCGUUGUGCGCGCCGUUGGCUAAACAUCAUCCAGGGUUUUUCUCAUCGUGCUACUUACUCAUCUCUGUCAUCGCUUCACCAGGGACAUCAUUGACAUCGAACCCAUCGUAUUCUUACGUACGGCGAUCAUCGAUCGUCGGCAGCAUAAUUCGUUUCACUUUCACCGUAACCAAGAUUCAUUGUGGUUCGAAUGGAAAUGUAGAGAGAGAGAGACAUACAUAGAAGCAAACAGUCAUAAAAUGACAAUACAAAUACAAAUACAAGUGCGUGGAAAACGGUACAUAAACAAGUUUGCCAUUGAAAAAAAAAAAAGAUUCUUAAACAAAUACUUCAGAAUGAAUGUAAAAAUUUCCUCUCAGUUUGUGUAUUUCGAGGUUCGUUGUGCUGUUCCGUUUUACCGUACAUUUAAAAAAAAGCUCCGUUUGUCACCAGUAUAGCCGGACACUAAAGCGAACUGUUUAAAUUAUCCAUAGGAAAAACAGCGAUGACAGUGACGACAGUGACAGCGAAAAGAUCAGCCUCAGGAUAAGUUGGCGCGAGCGGUAUUUACGCAAGCGACGCAAUAAGAAGAAACGGCGAUAGACACUAGGCGCCUCCAUCGUUCGUACCAUCCGUGUUCCCACUAUAUAUAUAAAGCCGUUCCUACAUCCUUAUGAUCCUCUGUUCAUCCUCUAUCCCUUUCUUCUUCCUACUUCCUUCCUUCCCUAGCGAUGUCGUCUAUCGUGUCAUCUGUAGUAAUUGAAUGACGAAGAAAUGAAAAUAGAAGAAAAACUAAUACAUAGUGACGCAAACGGAUUUCCUGUAACAGACCGGUGUGCUAGGCGGAUUAGUUCUAUAAUCAAAACAAACUAAUUGUUUAUGACAAAAGGAUGAAUUUGUUGGAAGGAAGAAAAGAACACAAUGCCACAGCAUUGUGUAAACAAAGAAAGAGAGAGGACAUAUUUUAAACUCAGUGUCAACCGGAUCAGUCAGAAAUGAUUGAUAAGCGCGAUAUUUGUUCAGUGUAGACAUCAGAAAACAACAAAAUUAACCGAUAACCAUUUCAUUGCAAAAGAGGUACGUGACUGAGAGUAAAUGUGAACCGGAGUAAGCAGUAAACCAUAUAACUACUCAAUGUGACGGUGUUUUAGGAAACUUAAGAAACAUUUUGUACUAAUCUAAAAAAUAAAAAAAAACACAGUGCAUCGGUGUGCAACCAUGCGCAUGCUGGUUAAUUGCAAAUUUUAACCCAGUUUAAAGGAAUUGUAAUUGUAAAUAGAAAGGAACAAAACCGCAGUAAACUGGUUGAGAAGAUCGUACAUGUUCCAAAUCAAAUCUUUCACAUAGAAGCGAAAUGGGGAUGAAUUAAUCUGAAGCCGACUGCAUAACGUUUCUGUGAGACAUAUAUAUAUAAUAUAUUAGACAUAGAUACCACUCGAAACGGAAUUUAGCAAGGAAAAAGAAAGCGCAUAUCUAGCCUAUAAUUAACCUGUGUAACUCUUAUCUAGUCCAGUUAUAUUUGUGCUAAAUUUCUAACUGCUAAUUCUGCAAAUAAAUAUAAAUAUAUAUUCUUACAUGUACUGGAUACUUUCACAUCAAAUUCUAUGCGCGGUCGAUACUAAAUCGCUAUCAAAAUCGAUGUGUUCCGGAGUGAGUUGAAAGCAGUUUUAGGUUGCCUUGUAUUCAAAGGACUAGUUAAAUAAUGAGACACAUCUGCUUGUAGUUAAACAUCUUCUAUACAAUAAUAACACCGAAAAAAGGAUACACGGUUAAGGUUCUGUUAAGCAGAAUGAAACCUGUUUGACAAGAAAAAUAAAUCCUGAAAAUGAAGGUGCACGAGAUUUGGUGGUUCCAUUGUUAAGUUUUGUUUUUUGCUCCUUAUUCGCGCGGUUACGUUUGUUGGAGAAAAGGUUUAUUAAAAGCGCACGAUUAUUUGAGCUACUUUUCCUAUAAUUCACAACAUGAGCUUAUUACUUGCAAACGGUAGCAUAUGUUUCGUACACAAUUCGUUGCUGUACAUUAGCAAGAGUUAAUUUUUUGCGUAAUGAUCGGUACAAUGUUUUUUCGCUUGUAGACACUAAAACCCAUGACUAAACUGGAUAUUCAGACACAUUAAAUGGUAGCUUGCUGAUGAGUGGUGUCGAGCAAAUCUCCUUUGCAGCGAGACAGUAAAACAUGAUUGUAACCCUACUAUACUAAGUGAUCGCAGCUAAACAUGACACCAUAUUUUACAAAGAAAAGAAAGCAAGCAAAAUUAAAAGUCGUGGAAAAUUGGGAAGAAAAACAAAGUUGAAAUAAAAAUAAAAGUACAUAGAAAAACGUACCGCAAGGAAUAUAUUUGAAAUCGGCGAUGCAAAAUUUAGCGGGUGGCAAGAUAAAAAUGAAAAAAGGGUGGAAUUGUGGCAUAGACGCCUGUUGCCGUUAAUAAGCUAAUCGAACCCGAUUACGCAGGCAAGGUGAAAACAAACGCGAAAUAGAAAGAACUGAACAUUAUUUAAUUUUUGUGAGUAACCGUAACAAUGUAGAGCGUGUGAAAUUAAGGAGAGAAAACAAAAUAAAAAAACGCAUUAAUCUUAAGUAAAUGGAAAUGUCAAAAAGAAAAACCCAUCUUUCAGGUAGUAGCAUUUGUAAAUUGCUGCUAAAAUAGAACCUCCUACUGCCGGACGAGAUCGGCUUGCCAUCAUACAAAACACGUGACCGGUCAGGAUAUAGGAGUUUAGUAUUUUCUUAGAAGUAAGUGUAAUACGUUAAAGAAUUUUACCAUUUUUUUGGUUUUCUUUUAGAUUAUUGCGGAAAUAUAACAGGAUCCAGAAAAAAAGAUGGUCUUUGUGUAGCGGUAGUGGAAGUAGUAGUAAAAAAAUAAACAAUGAAAGUAAAGAUCGAUCGACGAUAUGCGUGUAAAGGCACUAUUGUAAUGUUGUGCUUCGAUCGUUUGAAGCCCUUGUGUUUGGAUGUAAGAGAUUUACUUUGUUUUACUUUUUUAUUUAAAGAACUAAUUUCGAUUGUUUGUUUUCAUAUGAUUAUUUGUUUGUUUUAGUAGUUUUUACAUUAUUUAUAACUAUUCCACAAUUAUCAAACAAAAAAACCCCUUUAGCCCUGUACGGAAAUAAUGAUUAGGUGUAUAUGAGACGGAGAAGAAAAAAACCCAACUAAACGUAAAAAUGAAAAUAAUUUCGAAUGUAACGGCGUGUUUACAAUACGAUAAGAUGGAAACGCAACUGUAAACAGAGACGAUAAGAAAAAGGACGAGGGAAUUUGAUAAAACCGAUCUGUGUAAAAUUGAUCGAUAAAUUAUUAAAUUAUUUAAAAGCGAAA